GAGUAUCCUAUGGUGGGUGUUUCAUUCCACGCUUGACCCACUUUUCAGGCAGCUCUGCUCCUUUUCCACUGCUGUGUUUGUCCUCGGGGAAGAGGAACACAGCCGGCUGCUGCUGGAGCAGGGACAGUCCCAGGGGAGGGGGUGCCACGGCCUCCGGGGAGAGAGAGAAACGCUGGUGAUAGGUUCUGAUUGUCUGGUCAUGAGUUUAUCCAGCUUUAGCUCAGCCAUCUCAAAAUGUUAUUGGACUGUCCCUUUCUCCCCUGGAAUCUCCUUUUGAAAUGUUUUGAAUGCAUUUAAAAAUGCUGACUUCUGAAACACACUGUAUUUAUUCCCAUGGACUUUGAAACCUCAAAGCAGCUGCUUCGUUAUCAUCUGUGGCAUCAGAACCAGCCCAGAAUCUGCUUUUUGGACUUUGAACGGCUCCGGCGUUGGAGACCAGUGCCAGGCAGCCCUGUAAAGCUAAGCCAGUUCCCUUCCCCUUGUGUUUAUAUCAAGGAUUUUUACAGUUUUAUACGCUACCACUGAAGGUCGUUCUCAAGGCCACCUACAGAAAGUCUGCCCUUUCCAUUUUCCCGGGAAUGCCCGGGAGCGCCUCUGCGGGGCUGAGCUCGCCGAGUUCCCGUCCCUCGGAGCGAGCCCCGGCGCCCCCGCGUGGCGCUGCCCACCCGGCGGCACCGGGCACCGUGACCGGCCCGGGCCGGGAGCCGCUCUGCAGUGGGCCCGGCUGACAUGGAGCGGCUCUGACGUGGGCCCGGCUGACAUGGAGCGGCUCUGCAGUGGGCCAGGCUGACAUGGAGCGGCUCUGCAGUGGGCCAGGCUGACAUGGAGCGGCUCUGCCGCGGGCCAGGCUGACAUGGAGCGGCUCCAACGGGCUGCAGGUUACCCUUGCCCUUGGCAGCCAGAGGAUCUGGGCCUGGCUCCCCCACAGUGCUCCCAAUGAUUUCAGAGGAUGCCAAGGCAGAACUGGUACAGAAAUCACUGUUUAAAUAUGGGGAGGUGGAGUGAUGGUGAGAUUAGGAUACAGGUGCUGCAAAUAGGUUUGAGGAUUUGGUUAUUGGGUUUUGUCAGUCUGGGAUCCCCAAUGUCAGAAGGACAUGGAGCUGCUGGAGCAACAGCAGAGGAGGCCCUGGAGAUGCUCUGAGGGCUGGAGCCCCUCGGCUCUGCAGCUGGACUGGGAGAGUUGGGGAUGCUCACCUGGAGAAGGGAAGGCUCUGGACAGACCUGAGAGGCCAAGUCUCAGUCCUGUGCCUAAAAGGGCUACAAAAGAACUGGAGGGGGCCUUGGGACGGGGGCCUGGAGUGACAGGACAAGGGGGAAUGGCUUUAAAUGAGAGAGAGCAGGACUAGAUUGGAUGUUGGGAAGAAAUUCUUGCCUGUGAGUGUGGUGGGGCCCUGGCACAGGCUGCCCAGAGAAGCUGUGGCUGCCCCAUCC